CGCCGCAAAAUUCAGGCUGAAGGGCGGAGUGCUCUUGUUUGGAAACAGGAGAGUGAUAAAAACAAAAGAAGAAGCCAUGGGACUAUUUCAGGAGUUUCAUUCAAGUCCCAUCGGUGGACACACUGGUGUACUUAAGACUCGAACUGCAAUGUGUUCCAGAUUUUACUGGUAUGGAAUGUCGGUUGACAUUGUUAAUUGGGUCCUGGCUUGUGACCAGUGUCAAAAAAAUGGAAAACCACUGGCUGCUGUGCAACCACUGCAGUGUAUAAAGGUGUCACAUGUCUGGGAGCUAAUCGGAAUAGAUCUAACUGGACCUCU